CCAUAGGUUAAUGAGGCGAACCGGGGGAACUGAAACAUCUAAGUACCCCGAGGAAAAGAAAUCAACCGAGAUUCCCCCAGUAGCGGCGAGCGAACGGGGAGCAGCCCAGAGCCUGAAUCAGUGUGUGUGUUAGUGGAAGCGUCUGGAAAGGCGCGCGAUACAGGGUGACAGCCCCGUACACAAAAAUGCACAUGCUGUGAGCUCGAUGAGUAGGGCGGGACACGUGGUAUCCUGUCUGAAUAUGGGGGGACCAUCCUCCAAGGCUAAAUACUCCUGACUGACCGAUAGUGAACCAGUACCGUGAGGGAAAGGCGAAAAGAACCCCGGCGAGGGGAGUGAAAAAGAACCUGAAACCGUGUACGUACAAGCAGUGGGAGCCUCUUUAUGGGGUGACUGCGUACCUUUUGUAUAAUGGGUCAGCGACUUAUAUUCUGUAGCAAGGUUAACCGAAUAGGGGAGCCGAAGGGAAACCGAGUCUUAACUGGGCGUUAAGUUGCAGGGUAUAGACCCGAAACCCGGUGAU
rnacentral:rRNA from 1 species